CGAAAUCAGUUCCUUUCGAAAGUUGUAAGUUAAACUUUUGGAAUUUUAUGAUUUCGUAAAUUAAUACAUAUGCACUGCCUUCACCCGUUACCAAUUGAAGUAUUUGUUGGUGAAUGGUUUUGUCAGUGCAUACAUAU